rnacentral:rRNA from 1 species
UACGUAGGGGUGCAAGCGUUGUCCGGAAUUAUUGGGCGUAAAGGGCUCGUAGGCGGUCCAUCGCGUCGGGAGUGAAAAGCUGGGGCUCAACCCCAGUCCUGCUUCCGAUACGGGUGGACUAGAGGUAUGCAGGGGGAGAACGGAAUUCCUGGUGUAGCGGUGAAAUGCGCAGAUAUCAGGAGGAACACCGGUGGCGAAGGCGGUUCUCUGGGCAUUACCUGACGCUGAGGAGCGAAAAGCGUGGGGGAGCGAACAGGAUUAGAAAACCC